rnacentral:tRNA from 1 species
GGAGAGGUGGCUGAGUGGCUGAAGGCGGCGGUCUUGAAAACCGUUGACCGUUCUGCGGUCCGGGGGUUCGAAUCCCUCCCUCUCCG